GUGAGGAAUUUUCCGCAAUGGGCGAAAGCCUGACGGAGCAAUGCCGCGUGAAGGAUGAAGGCCUAUGGGUUGUAAACUUCUUUUCUCAGAAAAGAAUUAUGACGGUAUCUGAGGAAUAAGCAUCGGCUAACUCUGUGCCAGCAGCCGCGGUAAGACAGAGGAUGCAAGCGUUAUCCGGAAUGAUUGGGCGUAAAGCGUCUGUAGGUUGUUUAAAAAGUAUUCUGUCAAAGAUUAGGGCUUAACCCUAGAUAGGCAGAAUAAACUUUUAAGCUAGAGUUUGGUAGAGGCAGAGGGAAUUCCCGGUGGAGCGGUGAAAUGCGUAGAUAGCGGGAGGAACACCAAAGGCGAAGGCACUCUGCUGGGCCAAUACUAACACUGAGAGACGAAAGCGAGGGGAGCAAAUGGGAUUAGAAACCCCAGUAGUCC
rnacentral:rRNA from 1 species